rnacentral:tRNA from 1 species
GGGCCGGUAGAUUAGUGGUAAAUCGUCCGCUUCGCACGCGGAGGAUCGCGGGUUCGAAUCCCGCCCGGUCCACCA